rnacentral:rRNA from 1 species
CGCAGCAGCCAUAUCACCCUGCAACUCACAACUGGCAGCCCACUGGAGCUCAGCAGGUGUGAGCCUGGCCAGUACCUGGAUGGGAGACCUCCUGGGAAAAACUAAGGUUGCUGCUGGAA